rnacentral:misc_RNA from 1 species
GAUGAAGAACGCAGCGAAAUGCGAUAAGUAAUGUGAAUUACAGAAUUCAGUGAAUCAUCGAAUCUUUGAACGCACAUUGCGCCCGCUAGUAUUCUGGCGGGCAUGCCUGUCCGAGCGUCAUUUCAACCCUCAAGCCCCCGGGCUUGGUGUUGGGGAUCGGCGAGCCUCCGCGCCCGCCGUCCCCUAAAUCUAGUGGCGGUCUCGCUGUAGCUUCCUCUGCGUAGUAGCACACCUCGCACUGGGAAACAGCGCGGCCACGCCGUUAAACCCCCAACUUCUGAACGUUUGACCUCGGAUCAGGUAGGAAUACCCGCUGAACUUAAGCAUAUCAAUAAGCGGAGGA